GGCGUGCAGGCGCCCGGGGACUGCAGCCCACCGGGACCCCGCGCUCGGCCGCCUGCUCCCGGCGCGCUGGAAAGCCCCGGCCGGACGCCUAGUCCGCCAAAGUGCGUUCCCGUCCCGGGAGCGCUCUGGGCUUCCCGGGGAAAACUUGGCGCCAGAGUGCGGGGGAGCCCCGCGAACACGGGGCCCGUGAGGGGGCGGCCUCUGCCUGUCUGCCCCCCACCCCCACCGCCGUCCCCCCCCUCCACGGCCCGCGCUCGCCGGGGUCUGGAGGAGGGAGGGACGGGCUUGAUUCCUCCCGUGGGGAAGAAAAGCCGGGCAGCUGCCCCCGGCCUCCCCCUCCCCAGCCUCCGGCGGCCGAGGUCCGAGGAAUCCGCUCCCCCGCCCGGAAUCCCCGCGGCAGGAACGCCGGCGGGAGGGGGAGGCGGCGGCGGCCGGCCGAGGAAUCUCCGACGUGUCACUUUCCGAGGCUGUAGAUUUCCAUAUGGUGGAGGGCGGAGGCGCGCGUGCCAAGUGGGGCUGCGAGUCGGGGGGCGGCGCGGGCCCGGGGGCACGGACUCCGGCGCUGGCCGGGAGGGUCCCGCGCCCUCGCCGCGGGCCGCCCGCCCCCGGCCCGGCCCCUACGGGACACUCCCCGCCUCGCCGCUGGCCACCUUCGAGCGCGCCACGUCCUCCCUCCCCGUCCUGCCCCACAGGCUCCCCCCCGGGCUGGGGGCGGUAACCGGCGGCCGCGGCCGGACUUGGCGAGCCUGGCGGCUGGGAGCUCGGGCGGGGGAGCGGGGCGCGGCGGGAAGACGCGGGCGACCCGGAACGUGGCCAGCGGAGCUCCGGUCAGUCGGUCACCCCCGAGGGGCGCCGCGGCCGGGGGUGGGGCGGCGGGCGGAAUCCGCACCCCGAGGCGGCCGCGAGGGGCCGGGCGGGCCGGGGCCGGGGCCGCGCGGACCGUCUGGUGGCCGUGGCGGGGCGGGGGCGGCCGGCGUGGGAAGGGCCUGUCACUCUGGGCAGAAAGCCGGGCCCCGGGCUGUGCCCGCGAACUUUCCCUGGCGUCCCGGUCGAAGACGCGGACCCGGGCCCGGCGUCCCGGGAGACGGGCUGGGCCGCCGAGGCGCCGUUGGCGGGGAGGCUUCCAGGAGUGCGCUGUGGGAGUUGGAGAUUUUCGAAUCCCAGAUCCCAGCCUGCCCGCUCCGGCGAGAGGAAGCGCUGGCAUUUUAUCCAGACAGUGCCGUUUGCAGACUUCCUUCCAAGUUACAACUUUUUAUUUUCUCUCCUCUUCAGCGCAGCAUUUUCUUUAGACAAAACGUAGAAUUUGGCCGCGAUGGGCCAGGCCGGGGCCAGAAACCCUGGCGUUUAUCUCCGCAUCCCUGUUGGCUCCUAAGUCACCCUCCCCGCACCCCCUCCUUCCCCCUCCGGCGAGGCGUAAUCAUAUUUUUGAACGGGCGAGGUCUUUUGUUGGGUGGGCACCCCCAGAUUGCUUGUCUGUUUAUUUUUUAA
rnacentral:lncRNA from 1 species